UACAGAGGGGGCAAGCGUUGUUCGGAAUUACUGGGCGUAAAGGGCGCGUAGGCGGCCUGUUAAGUCGAACGUGAAAUCCCCGGGCUCAACCCGGGAACUGCGUCCGAUACUGGCAGGCUUGAAUCCGGGAGAGGGAUGCGGAAUUCCAGGUGUAGCGGUGAAAUGCGUAGAUAUCUGGAGGAACACCGGUGGCGAAGGCGGCAUCCUGGACCGGCAUUGACGCUGGAGGCGCGGAAAGCCAGGGAGCAAACGGG
rnacentral:rRNA from 1 species